GUUUCGGGUAUGGGGUUUCGGGUUUCGGUUUUCGGAUUCUAGGGAUUUAAACAUAACACUCGUUAAUUCCACGUAGGAUGAAAUCGUCGUAAAUACAACGUAAGCAUAAAUUGUCGUAAAGACCAUGUAACCAGAAAUCGUCGUAAAGACCACAUAAGCAGAAAUCUUCGUAAAGACCACGUAAAAAGAUUUAAACAUAAAACACGUUAAUUCCACGUAAGCAUAAAUCGUCGUAAAUACCUCGUAGUGUAAAAACUAGAAAAAAAGGAAAAGGAUCAAAAUACCAGAAUAACAUGUGGCAAGACUUCCAGCAAUUAUAAUACGUAAGUCUCGCCCACAUGAAUUCUAAUAUCUUAUCCAUUUCCUAUUUUUUUCAAAUAUUUAUAA
rnacentral:lncRNA from 1 species